UACAGAGGAUGCAAGCGUUAUCCGGAAUGAUUGGGCGUAAAGCGUCUGUAGGUGGCUUUUUAAGUCCGCCGUCAAAUCCCAGGGCUCAACUCUGGACAGGCGGUGGAUACUGCCAGUCUUGAAGGUGCUAGGGGGAGAUGGAAUUACCGGUGUAGCGGUGAAAUGCGUAGAUAUCGGUAGGAACACCAGUGGCGAAGGCGGUCUCCUGGGGCAUUCUUGACGCUGAGGCGCGAAAGCUGGGGGAGCAAACGGG
rnacentral:rRNA from 1 species